AAAGAUGGGAGAAAUGGAGAGGUUCUCUGAAGCCAUUAGAACAGCUCCAAAUUCCACGUUGCUAUGCCCUAGUCUCCAUUUCAGCCGCUAAACAGAGGGAAAUCCAUAUUUUCUCAGACGCAUCAGUUGAAGCUAUAGCUGCAGUUGCCUUUUUGAAGACCUCAGGGAUCAAUGGAGACAUACAUUGCAAUUUUGUUCUAGGCAAGGCAAAGCUAACACCAAAACCUGCACAUACCAUACCCAGACUUGAACUUUGUGCAGCCGUGCUAGCCGUGGAAAUAGCUGAAGUCAUAAAGAGUGAAAUGGACAUUAAAAUGGAUUCCUUCACAUUUUACACAGACAGUAAGAUAGUGCUUGGAUACAUCUACAACCAAACCAAACAAUUUUACGUGUACGUCAGUAAUCGAGUAGAAUGUAUCAGAAGGUUCUCUCUGCCAAAGCAAUGGCAUUAUAUUCCCACGGACAUUAAUCCUGCUGAUUAUGGGACAAGACCUAUAUCCC